rnacentral:rRNA from 1 species
GGGAGGUAGUGACAAUAAAUAACAAUACGGGGUUCUUUCGGAUUUCGUAAUUGGAAUGAGUACAAUUUAAAUACUCUUAACGAGGAACAAUUGGAGGGCAAGUCUGGUGCCAGCAGCCGCGGUAAUUCCAGCUCCAAUAGCGUAUAUUAAAGUUGCUGCAGUUAAAAAGCUCGUAGUUGAAUUUCGGGACCAUCAUGUCGGUCGUGCCUCGGUACGUACUGGCAUUGUUGGUUUCUCCCUUCUGACGAACCAUGAUGUCAUUUAUUUGGUGUUGUGGGGAAUCAGGACUGUUACUUUGAAAAAAUUAGAGUGUUUAAAGCAGGCUCACGCUUGAAUACAUUAGCAUGGAAUAAUGAAAUAGGACGUUUGAUUCUAUUUUGUUGGCUUCUAGGAUCGACGUAAUGAUUAAUAGGGAUAGUUGGG